ACAGCGCACUGAGGAGAUAUCCGGGGUGCUCGUGUAUCAUGUUCUUCGCGUGCGUGUGAGUCAAUAUACGGAAUCUGCAAGACUGCCUUCAGCUCAUCGAUUGGUGGUGUACGAUCGUAUUUAGCACAGUGUCAGACUCUGUAUAAUGAUCGACAAUUUUUCCGUUUAGCCGUAAGGCUGCUGUAUGAGCUUUGUUACAGUUAUUGAAAUAAGCAACAGCGGUCGGCACACGAGAACGGAGAAGAGAGGGCAUAAGACUUCCCAUCCGCCUGGUCACGGCUGAGUAGGUUCGAUUAGGCAAGUCGUGUUGCCUCCUGGACUACUGAUGAGGCCAUGGGUAAUGGGGGCGUGGGGAGAGCCUCAAGUUAAUAUGAAUGAAUGAGGAGGUGGAAUUACCCUCGGCGCAUGGCAUGGGGAAAGCCUAUCGCACGGAAUGUGCUAAUACAGUAGUG
rnacentral:lncRNA from 1 species